rnacentral:rRNA from 1 species
UGGCGAACGGGUGAGUAACACGUGGGGCAACCUGCCCAAAAGAGGGGGAUAACACUUGGAAACAGGUGCUAAUACCGCAUAACCAUAGUUACCGCAUGGUAACUAUGUAAAAGGUAGCUAUACUACCGCUUUUGGAUGGGCCCGCGGCGCAUUAGCUAGUUGGUAGGGUAAAGGCUUACCAAGGCAAUGAUGCGUAGCCGAAUUGAGAGGUUGAUCGGCCACAUUGGGACUGAGACACGGCCCAAACUCCUACGGGAGGCAGCAG